rnacentral:rRNA from 1 species
AGUGAACGCUGGCGGUAGGCCUAACACAUGCAAGUCGAACGGCAGCACAGUAAGAGCUUGCUCUUACGGGUGGCGAGUGGCGGACGGGUGAGGAAUACAUCGGAAUCUACUUUUUCGCGGGGGAUAACGUAGGGAAACUUACGCUAAUACCGCAUACGACCUACGGGUGAAAGCAGGGGAUCUUCGGACCUUGCGCGACUGAAUGAGCCGAUGUCGGAUUAGCUAGUUGGCGGGGUAAAGGCCCACCAAGGCGACGAUCCGUAGCUGGUCUGAGAGGAUGAUCAGCCACACUGGAACUGAGACACGGUCCAGACUCCUACGGGAGGCAGCAGUGGGGAAUAUUGGACAAUGGGCGCAAGCCUGAUCCAGCCAUACCGCGUGGGUGAAGAAGGCCUUCGGGUUGUAAAGCCCUUUUGUUGGGAAAGAAAAGCAGCAGGUUAAUACCCCGCUGUUCUGACGGUACCCAAAGAAUAAGCACCGGCUAACUUCGUG